CAUAUGGGAUCUGAAAAUGCAAUAUAGAUGCAAUUGUCUUCCUUACUUCGGGUUGUAGUAGAGCAAGACUGUCGUGUGUGAUUCAACAGUUCUAGAGAAUCAAAGGAAAGAGGAAGGAGAAGAUGAUGCGAACGAGGUUGCUAUGGUUCACAAUAGGUCUCACUUCCGUUUCAGCUACAAUGACUCACUUCAUAUUCAAAGAUCUAUGGGCUGAUCGACUCUCUCUUUCUUCCCAAUUGAAGGAGAAAUUUAGCGUCUUGGAGACUAGGGUUUCCAGUCUUGAAGUGCUUCGUGAUAGUCCCAAUCCUCAGCAGGUAUUUUCUGGCUAAUAUUAAGGAAUAAUAU